GACACAACGCGCCAACGACCCAACCCACCGUGCCGCUGUCUCAACUGCGUCGCCGCGCCGACUAACCGUGCCACCCCUCUGGCCGACUGCUCCACCGCCCCAUCACGUCCUACACAACGUCGUCCGCCACAGGCCGCUAUGCACCACACUUUCAAAUUAGGAGCAACGAUGCCAAAUCCCUAUAGCAUGUUGCGCACCACCCUUUCAGGAGCAGCAUCGUCGUCCUCCUCGCCACGAGUGGCAACACUGUUUGUUGUGCCAAGGAGCAGCACUGCCAUCCCAGGCCACUCACAAGGAGAAGCAGCCGAGCAGUCAGCUGAUUUUUAGUUGCAACAACGCCGUUUGCUGCACCGACCACCACCACUUGCAAGGAUCCACCUCCACGGUUUGUCAGCAUCAAUAUUCCGAAUCUCUACAUUUUAGUUAGUAUUGUGUGAAUCCUUUGUGAAGGUGCAAUCAUCAUGGACAAAAGGUGGAUGGAUGAGCGUAGGUAUAACACAAAAUUUUAGCGGUUAUAGGGUGCUUAGCAAUUAUUUAACUACAUCUGAUCUGAUGCAUAUGUAUAUUUAUAUAACAUGUAGGCACAUAAAUGUGUAUCUGGAAGGGGUUGAAAAAUUCUUAA